rnacentral:rRNA from 1 species
CCUACGGGGGGCUGCAGUGGGGAAUAUUGGACAAUGGGGGCAACCCUGAUCCAGCCAUGCCGCGUGUGUGAAGAAGGCCCUCGGGUUGUAAAGCACUUUCAGUGAGGAAGAACGCCUGGUGGUUAAUACCCAUCAGGAAAGACAUCACUCACAGAAGAAGCACCGGCUAACUCCGUGCCAGCAGCCGCGGUAAUACGGAGGGUGCGAGCGUUAAUCGGAAUUACUGGGCGUAAAGCGCGCGUAGGUGGCUUGAUAAGCCGGUUGUGAAAGCCCCGGGCUCAACCUGGGAACGGCAUCCGGAACUGUCAAGGUAGAGUGCAGGAGAGGAAGGUAGAAUUUCCGGUGGAGCGGUGAAAUGCGUAGAGCUCGGGAGGAAUACCAGUGGCGAAGGCGGCCUUCUGGACUGACACUGACAAUGAGGUGCGAAAGCGUGGGUAGCAAACAGGAUUAGAUACCCCUGUAGUC